UACGGAGGGUGCGAGCGUUGUCCGGAAUCAUUGGGCGUAAAGGGCGCGUAGGUGGCCCGGUCAGUUCGUGGUGAAAGCGCGGGGCUCAACCCUGCGUCGGCCAUGAAUACUGCCGCGGCUGGAGCACUGUAGAGGCAGGCGGAAUUCCGGGGUGUAGCGGUGGAAUGCGUAGAGAUCCGGAAGAACACCGGUGGCGAAGGCGGCCGCUGGGCAGUGCUGACACUGAGGCGCGACAGCGUGGGGAGCAACAGG
rnacentral:rRNA from 1 species